CGGGGUCCCUAACAUGCAAAGUCGUGCGCGAAGGGGAGCAAUCCCUGAGUAGAGCGGCAAACGGGUGACUAACACGUGGGUGACCUGCCUUCGAGUGGGGGAUAACGUCCCGAAAGGGACGCUAAUACCGCAUGACAUUCUGCUUUUGGAAAAGUGGAAAUCAAAGCCGGGGAUCGCAAGACCUGGCGCUUGAAGAGGGGCCCGCGCCUGAUUAGCUAGUUGGUGGGGUAAUGGCCUACCAAGGCAACGAUCAGUAUCCGGCCUGAGAGGGCGGACGGACACACUGGGACUGAGACACGGCCCAGACUCCUACGGGAGGCAGCAGUGGGGAAUUGUUCGCAAUGGACGCAAGCCUGACGACGCAACGCCGCGUGGAGGAUGAAGAUCUUCGGGUCGUAAACUCCUGUCGAGUGGGAAGAAUAGUCUCGGGGCUAACAUCCUCGAGGCCUGACGGUACCACUAAAGGAAGCCCCGGCUAAC
rnacentral:rRNA from 1 species